CCACUCUUGACAUCCUCCUUGGGACUUUCAGAGAUGAUUGUCUUCGGUUCGGCCGGGGGAGUGACAGGUGCUGCAUGGCUGUCGUCAGCUCGUGUCGUGAGAUGUUUGAUUAAGUCCAGUAACGAGCGCAACCCUUAUUGUCUGUUGCCAUCAUUCAGUUGGGCACUCUGACAAGACUGCCGGUGAUAAGCCGGAGGAAGGCGGGGACGACGUCAAGUCAUCAUGGCCCUUACGAGUGGGGCUACAAACGUGCUACAAUGGUAGUGACAGUGGGCAGCGACCUCGCGAGGGGGAGCUAAUCUCCAAAAGCUAUCUCAGUUCGGAUUGUUCUCUGCAACUCGGGAGCAUGAAGUUGGAAUCGCUAGUAAUCGC
rnacentral:rRNA from 1 species